UUGAAAGGGAAACGAUUGAAGUCAGUCGUACCAGCGGGAAAUCAACCUUUCGAGUGGGGGUUUUGGAGUUUUGAAGUGUGUCAAAACCUUUGAGAUUUUAAAAUUUUCGCUCUUUUGGUGUACUUUCUCGUGGGUAGGUUAACAUCGAUUUUGAUCAUCAUAAAAAGACUGGAGGAAUGUAGCUUCGAUCUUGUAUUGAAGUGUUAUAGCCUUUGGUAAAUGUGAUGAUUAGGAUCGAGGAUUGCAACGAAUACCCUUCUGGGCUAUCCGCCUGAUCUCUGAUACGUGGCCUUGGCAUCGAAAGCUUGCUUAUGGUAUCAAGGUAUUACGGUCAAAAGGUUAGAACGGAUUACAUUCGUUAAGGAUGUUGACGUA
rnacentral:rRNA from 1 species